rnacentral:lncRNA from 1 species
UUCCACAGUGACAGUUUCCCCACAACUGAAUUCUAAUCUUGAGUGUUGCACUUCCCAGAAUGUUCUGGACAAGGCCUGGUGCCGUCCCUGCUGCAGUCCCUGGAGGGAGAGCAGGGGGUCUCCUUGGGGCCACUGUGGAGUCUCUGGGGCAAGAGGGAGCCUCCCUAGGGGAGGAUGACAGGUCUGCUCACUUGCGGACUGGACACAAUUCCUUAUAGGCUGCCCUCUGGAUGUGAAUUAUAGAGCCACAGGUAAUGGAGCAGCAGAAAUUCCUCUGAGAUUAUGUCUGUGUAUAGUUGUGUUGGUUUGAAAAGUGUUUUGGUCAUUUGAGUCUUCAUACUUAGUAAACAAACAAAAAUAAACUGGAAAAAAAUUC